rnacentral:lncRNA from 1 species
GUGACUGUUUCACACCGAUGGCUCAAACAUCACUGGAAAAUCAAAUUAUGAAAGACCAGCUGCUGACACUGAACGGGUUUGCCUCCCAUGGCCAUCUAGACCGAGGGAGGCUCGCUGGAUGAUGACAAGAUAAAGGAGUCUGCUGGGCAUUAAAAGCUGGGCUGGGAGAAUCAAAGUGGAUUGCCCUCGUGUGACAGCAGCGAGCCUCCUGAAUCAAGCCCAGCCUAAAAAUGGAAUCCUAACAGUGCAGAUGCCAGCGACAAACAACCGACACACAGCACGGCAAGAACCAUCAACAAGGAAAAGCUCUCCAUUGUUUGAAUGAUCCACCCCUCUCAAGCUCCUCUAUCCCCAGCCCAAGCCACCAACAUCUCCGGAGGAGGACACUGGUCUCCUAGACCCAUCUCUCUGCCUGCACUGCCCCAGUGACUCUAAAAUCUGAGUCAAUCCCUAUGAUGACUUCUCCAUGCUCUUGCAAGAAAAUUCAGCACCCUCUCUCCAUAGGCUCUGAGUCGGCCUGUCUGGUCUGGAUUUGGCUUCCUUUUCCACAGACAGGAGGCCCCCUCAACUGCAGGAAAUACGUUCUAAGACCCUCAGUGGAUGCCUGAAACCAUGGAAAAUUUGGAACCCUAUAUACACUAUGUUUUUUUCCUGUUCAUAAGUACCUAUGAUAAAGUUGAAUUUAUAAAUUAGGCAUAGUAAGAGAUGAACAAUAACAAUAG